rnacentral:rRNA from 1 species
AUUGAACGCUGGCGGCAUGCCUUACACAUGCAAGUCGAACGGCAGCACGGGUGCUUGCACCUGGUGGCGAGUGGCGAACGGGUGAGUAAUACAUCGGAACAUGUCCUGUAGUGGGGGAUAGCCCGGCGAAAGCCGGAUUAAUACCGCAUACGAUCCACGGAUGAAAGCGGGGGACCUUCGGGCCUCGCGCUAUAGGGUUGGCCGAUGGCUGAUUAGCUAGUUGGUGGGGUAAAGGCCUACCAAGGCGACGAUCAGUAGCUGGUCUGAGAGGACGACCAGCCACACUGGGACUGAGACACGGCCCAGACUCCUACGGGAGGCAGCAGUGGGGAAUUUUGGACAAUGGGCGAAAGCCUGAUCCAGCAAUGCCGCGUGUGUGAAGAAGGCCUUCGGGUUGUAAAGCACUUUCGUCCGGAAAGAAAUCCUUGGCUCUAAUACAGUCGGGGGAUGACGGUACCGGAAGAAUAAGCACCGGCUAACUACGU